GUGUAGGAGUAGGGUUAGGGCUUGGUUGAGAAUAGGGUUAGGAUUAGGGUAGGGUUAGGUUUAGGAGUAGGGUUGGGAUAGGUUAGGGUUUGGGGUAGAGGUACCCUAACCCUACCCGAACCCAACCCUAUCCCUACUCCUAACCCGAACCCAAACCUACGCCUAACCCUACCCCUAGCCCUACUCCAAACCCUACUCCUAACCCUACUCCUAACCUAACCCUACCCCAACCCCAAUCCUACCCCUACCCGUUUUGCCAC